UACAGAGGUCUCGAGCGUUGUUCGGAUUCAUUGGGCGUAAAGGGCGCGUAGGCGGCGGGGUAAGUCUGGUGUGAAAUCUAGGAGCUCAACUCCUAAACUGCACUGGAUACUGCUCUGCUAGAGGACUGGAGAGGAGACUGGAAUUCACGGUGUAGCAGUGAAAUGCGUAGAUAUCGUGAGGAAGACCAGUGGCGAAGGCGGCUCACUGGUCCGGUACUGACGCUGAGGUGCGAAAGCGUGGGGAGCAAACAGG
rnacentral:rRNA from 1 species